ACUUUUCGUGCCGAACGGCUUGUGGCUUAUUGUCCUUAAUUUUUGUGCGUGAUUUUCCAUCUUUCCCGCUGAUUCUCAACGUAAGAGCACGGGGAAUCGCCUCCACCCUCAGGAACGGCUUUCAAAAGCUACUGGUAAUUGAGACGAGGACGUCACUCUUCGAAGAGAAACUUUCUUCCACCUCUAAUUGCCGUCGUUCG